rnacentral:rRNA from 1 species
UACGUAGGGUGCGAGCGUUAAUCGGAAUUACUGGGCGUAAAGCGUGCGCAGGCGGUGAGUUAAGUCUGAUGUGAAAGCCCCGGGCUCAACCUGGGAAUGGCAUUGGAAACUGGCUUGCUUGAGUGUGGCAGAGGGGGGUGGAAUUCCGCGUGUAGCAGUGAAGUGCGUAGAGAUGCGGAGGAACACCGAUGGCGAAGGCAGCCCCCUGGGCCAACACUGACGCUCAGGCACGAAAGCGUGGGGAGCAAACAGG